UACGGGGGGGGCAAGCGUUGUUCGGAAUUACUGGGCGUAAAGGGCUCGUAGGUGGCCGACUAAGUCGGGACGUGAAAUCCCUCGGCUUAACCGGGGAACUGCGUCCGAUACUGGAUGGCUUGAGUUUGGGAGAGGGACGCGGAAUUCCAGGUGUAGCGGUGAAAUGCGUAGAUAUCUGGAGGAACACCGGUGGCGAAGGCGGCGUCCUGGACCAAUACUGACACUGAUGAGCGAAAGCCAGGGGAGCAAACGGGG
rnacentral:rRNA from 1 species